rnacentral:piRNA from 1 species
UUUGCUGAGCGUCGACCAUAAC